rnacentral:rRNA from 1 species
UCAGUCGACUCCUACGGGGAGGCAGCAGUGGGGGAAUAUUGCACAAUGGGCGCAAGCCUGAUGCAGCCAUGCCGCGUGUAUGAAGAAGGCCUUCGGGUUGUAAAGUACUUUCAGCAGUGAGGAAGGGUAUCGUAGUUAAUAGCUGCGGUAUUUGACGUUAGCUGCAGAAGAAGCACCGGCUAACUCCGUGCCAGCAGCCGCGGUAAUACGGAGGGUGCGAGCGUUAAUCGGAAUUACUGGGCGUAAAGCGCAUGCAGGUGGUUUGUUAAGUCAGAUGUGAAAGCCCGGGGCUCAACCUCGGAAUUGCAUUUGAAACUGGCAGACUAGAGUACUGUAGAGGGGGGUAGGAAUUUCAGGUGUAGCGGUGAAAUGCGUAGAGAUCUGAAGGAAUACCGGUGGCGAAGGCGGCCCCCUGGACAGAUACUGACACUCAGAUGCGAAAGCGUGGGGAGCAAACAGGAUUAGAUACCCUGGUAG